UCUCCGUAGGUGAACCAGCGGAAGGAUCAUUCAUAAUAAGUGUAUUUUGGAACUUUUUUAAAUCCAUAUCCACCUUUUGUGCAAUGUCAUGGUUGGUGUCUUUUGAACAGCCUCAAACAUCAACAAUUAUCUCAACUCUUUCUCUGAAAAAUAUUAUUAAUAAAACUAUAAAAAAUACAACUUUCAACAACGGAUCUCUUGGCUCUC
rnacentral:misc_RNA from 1 species